rnacentral:lncRNA from 1 species
UCAAAGGAUCUUUUAUUAUGCCCUAGGGCUGACCAGCUUUAUUUUUCUGCUUGAAGCAUUUGCUUCUCUAUGAGACAAGGGAUCAGGCAGGGAAGAAGGGUUUUUAUUUUUCCUGCAAUGGCAGCUACUCCCUCCUCCAUGCCUUCAUCAGCAGAGGAGGUCCUCCUGUCUCUUAUCCUGUUCUCUUGAACAGCCACUGGAGAUCUAUGGAAAAGAGCUUAAAGGCCAUGUGAAGACACGGUGAGAAGACGGCCAUCUGAAAGUCAGGAGGAGUAUCCUCUUGAGAACUGAAUCAAGCUAGUACUUUGAUCUUGGACUUCCAGCCUCCAGAACUGCAGUGUUGGUCUGCAAGCUUCAAGAGCCAGUGACCCUGACUGCCAAGUGAUUUGCCGAAGGGAAUUAUGGUUUUGCAUUUGAUGGUUUCCAGGAACUGCUAAGAGUGAGAUCAUCCCUGAAGCAGUGACUGCCAGAGGAAGGCGAGAGACAUAUGGUGGCCUUACAGGAGAAGAACAUGUCUCAGAGAGCUCCUACUCCUCCAGUUUUGGCCCCAGAAUGAAACACAGGAAGAAGACCUGAAUUUGAUUUGCAUUUCAAAGUAGAACUGUCCCAGCUGACAUGAAGACUGAUGAAUAAGGAAUAAGUAUUUAUUGUUGUAUGUCACUGAUAUUUCUGUGGUCGAUUAUGUGUAGAAGAGCUGACUUGUACACUUACAUAAACUUGAAGAAGACUGAAUUUAGAAAUGGAGUUUCUGCAUAUGGUUAUGUCUGAGUAGCUCCAAGUGGAUCAUCCCUCCCACAGAUAACAACUCUAAACUCUGGACAAAAUAUAAAAAUAACAAUUUCCUGAAUAUCAAAGAGCAACCCAAAUCAUGCAGAUACUGGGUAUUAAGGCUGAAUUUGUCUACACAUCAAACAUGUACCUAGGAGGAAUAUUUGCUCUGUGCCAUCAGCAGUGUAGAAACUAGAAUAACCAGCUGCCGUAUUGUGAGCUGCAUUAUGAAGAGAACCAUGUGGCAAGACACUGAGGGAGAUCUCCAGCCAACAACAACUCAUAAGCAACUAAAUCUUGUGAUGAACCACUGGAGUCAUCUGGAAAGAGGAUCCUCUCACCUUCAAUCUUUGAAAUGGCUAGAGCUCUGAUGACAGUUGGAUUACAGCCUUAGGAGAAACAGAGAGCCGGGGAAAUUUGUGCCCAGGUUCCUUUCCCACAGACAUUGUCAGAUAAUAAAUAUCUCUGCGUUUUUAAGCUUC